UACGGAGGGUGCGAGCGUUGUCCGGAUUUAUUGGGUUUAAAGGGUGCGUAGGCGGCUGUUUAAGUCAGCGGUGAAAGUUUUGGGCUCAACCCAGAAAUUGCCAUUGAUACUGGACAGCUUGAGUAUUGGAGGGGUACAUGGAAUUGAUGGUGUAGCGGUGAAAUGCAGAGAGACCAUCAGGAACAACGAUAGCGAAGGCAUUGUACUGGCCAAUAACUGACGCUGAUGCACGAAAGCAUGGGUAGCGAACAGG
rnacentral:rRNA from 1 species